rnacentral:rRNA from 1 species
AGCGAACGCUGGCGGCAGGCUUAACACAUGCAAGUCGAGCGGGCCUUUCGGGGUCAGCGGCGGACGGGUGAGUAACGCGUGGGAACGUGCACUCUGGUUCGGCAUAACUCAGGGAAACUUGAGCUAAUACCGGAUACGCCCUAUUGGGGAAAGGCUUGCUGACGGAGGAUCGGCCCGCGUCUGAUUAGCUAGUUGGUGAGGUAACGGAUCACCAAGGCGACGAUCAGUAGCUGGUCUGAGAGGAUGAUCAGCCACACUGGGACUGAGACACGGCCCAGACUCCUACGGGAGGCAGCAGUGGGGAAUAUUGGACAAUGGGCGCAAGCCUGAUCCAGCCAUGCCGCGUGAGUGGUGAAGGCCUUAGGGUUGUAAAGCUCUUUUAUCCGGGACGAUAAUGACGGUACCGGAGGAAUAAGCCCCGGCUAACUUCGUG